AGCUAGGUGGCCGAAGUUAAGGUCUAGGUCUUUUAAACCUAUUAUAGUAAAUUUUACUUCUUGCUA
rnacentral:tRNA from 1 species